ACUCGCAGUUAUCCCGUGGUUUUCGUUUGUUUGUCGCUGUUUGAAUUUCGAACACGCGUCUGUUCUGUUUGGUUCAGUGAGUUGGACACCAUGAGUUGAAUUUUUGGAAGAAAGUUUCCGAGGUGAGUUCCUUUUCAUUCCUCGCGACGAAGUCAUGGCCAUGUGACUUUUUGAGGAGCUUGGUGAGAGAAGUGAAAGAGAGUGAAAACGGCGACGCGACGGUUUCGGAGCAAGGUUCGUGGAUUGCUUGUGAGAUUCGCUUUCGUCAAGACGAUCUUCGUGAGAGAGGCUGUGCACCAAAGACAAACAGCCAUACACAAGAAUAACAUCUUUCACGUUCCGCUAAUCACAACACUCGGAGCGGGCUGUAGAAGUCGUAGAAGCGACGAUGGAAAAACAUAGCGCCGUCGUGGUUCGGACCAAUGGAAAAAUUAUAGCCACUGUCGGAUGGUUAAUGAAGUGGGCCCACGAGUACGGGAAUUAUUUUUGUUCAAAACAUACCAACCACUCUCAAUUCCACGAUGAACCACUAGGGAUGAAAAUAUAUACUUGUUCAUGCAAAAAUUCAUUCAACAAAUCUAGUAAACUGGAUAGGCACGUUUGACGGCAUAAUAAGAAGCUUUUCAAGGAACCGUGUUUUCAAAAAAUUGGGACGAAUGAACCAUCACAGAAGCGGCAAAAGCAGCAGUGAGGUCAGCUGAAAGCCAUGCUGCCAACUAGAAGAAACAGAAAAAGAAUACACACGACCAAAGCCGGUCACUCUCGCGGUUCACCCUCGUCCAGUCGCGUUUUGCAGGAUUAUUUUUAGGGGUUGUACAGGAUGUAAAAUACGCUUGCUAUACACAGAGAGAAUAAAUAUACACACACACACACACACAUACGUGUUUCUGAUGUAAAAACAAUUUUUUGGCAAGACUUUUUUAGCAGGAUAAAUGGUGCUCGUUGACACAACCCACUAAAAGCU